UACAGAGGUGGCAAGCGUUGUUCGGAAUUACUGGGCGUAAAGGGCGCGUAGGCGGUUCGUUAAGUCCUGUGUGAAAUCCCCCGGCUCAACUGGGGAACUGCACAGGAAACUAGCGGGCUUGAGUUCGGGAGAGGGAAGCGGAAUUCCGGGUGUAGCGGUGAAAUGCGUAGAUAUCUGGAGGAACACCGGUGGCGAAGGCGGCAUCCUGGACCAACACGUGACGCUGACGUGAGCGAAAGCCAGGGGAGCAAAGCGGG
rnacentral:rRNA from 1 species